rnacentral:rRNA from 1 species
AGAGUUUGAUCCUGGCUCAGGAUGAACGCUAGCGGCAGGCCUAAUACAUGCAAGUCGGACGGGAUUGGGGGCUUGCCCCCAUGAGAGUGGCGCACGGGUGCGUAACACGUAUGUAACCUACCCUUAUCUGGGGGAUAGCCUCUCGAAAGAGAGAUUAACACCGCAUAAAAUCACAGUACGGCAUUGUACAAUGAUCAAAUAUUUAUAGGAUAGGGAUGGGCAUGCGGGACAUUAGCUAGUUGGCGGGGUAACGGCCCACCAAGGCUACGAUGUUUAGGGGAUCUGAGAGGAUGGCCCCCCACACUGGUACUGAGACACGGACCAGACUCCUACGGGAGGCAGCAGUAAGGAAUAUUGGUCAAUGGAGGCAACUCUGAACCAGCCAUGCCGCGUGCAGGAAGACAGCCCUAUGGGUCGUAAACUGCUUUUAUACCGGAAUAAACCCCUUUACGUGUAAAGGGUUGAAUGUACGGUAGGAAUAAGGAUCGGCUAACUCCGUGCCAGCAGCCGCGGUAAUACGGAGGAUCCAAGCGUUAUCCGGAUUUAUUGGGUUUAAAGGGUGCGUAGGCGGCCUGUUAAGUCAGGGGUGAAAUUUUCCGGCUCAACCGGGACAUUGCCUUUGAUACUGACGGGCUUGAAUGCAGCUGAGGUAGGCGGAAUGUGACAAGUAGCGGGGAAUGCAUAGAUAUGUCACAGAACACCAAUUGCGAANGCAGCUUACCAAAGUGUGAUUGACGCUGA